rnacentral:tRNA from 1 species
GUCAAGUUAGUUUAGCUAAAAUAUCAGCCUGUGGAUUUGAAGAUGAAAAUUGAUUUCACUUGACC